rnacentral:tRNA from 1 species
GCCUGGGUGGCUCAGUUGGUUAAGCGUCGGACUCUUGGUUUCAGCUCAGGUCGUGAUCUCACAGUGUGUGAGUUCGAGCCCCACCCUGGGCA